UGAGAAAACAACCAUGACAAAUAUGAUAAAGGAUGUCUCGCCAAGUCUUCCACAUGAAGGAAAGAGAUACUGUUGUUCACUUCUGAGAAGUCAUGGCUGAUAUGCCUGGAGAAGCUGUCCUUGCCAGCCCAGAAGUAGAUGAUGCUCGUUCCACUGUAUGAGAAAACUCUGGAAAAGAGAAUGAUAAUUAAAAUUCUUUCUGCUCAGAUGAGGAAAAACAUAAGCAAGCAGACAAACAAAAGCCAAUCAAGCAUACCUUGAAGACACUGUGGGUACAUUUUCAGACCACAACUAUAAAGUGAAUAUCACAAUAAAGUUCUAAAAUAUCUGCUGGCCAGGAGUAAUGGCUCAUACCUGCAAUCCCAACACUUCGGGAGGCCAAGGUGGGAGGAUCGCUUGAGCUCAGAAGUUUGAAACCAGGCCUGAGCAACAUACAGAGACCUCAUCUCUACAAAAAAUUUAAAAAGUAGCCACACAUGGUGGUGCACACCUACUCGGGAGGCGGAGGUGGGAGGAUCACUGGAGCCUGGGAGAUUGAGGCUGCAGUGAGCUGUGUUCCCGCCACUGAACUCCAGCCUGG
rnacentral:lncRNA from 1 species